UUGACAGGUAUGGAGGCUUAUCACAUCUAUUCUACCAGAAUAUGGGAAUCAGGGCAAACGUUCCCCUGCUACCUUAUUAAUCUACUGUCACCUCAAACUGGAAGGGACAUCUCUAGUGGUGAGAAAGUAAUUCAUUUUCCAAGCCUAUUCAGUCCUUGGCCUCU
rnacentral:sRNA from 1 species